rnacentral:misc_RNA from 1 species
AACGCACCUUGCGCUCCUUGGUAUUCCGAGGAGCAUGCCUGUUUGAGUGUCAUUAAUAUCUCAACUCCUACCGUUUUGCGACGGUAGGGCGUUGGACUUGGAGUGUGCUGGCGCAAGUCAGCUCCUCUUCAAAUACAUCAGCGGAGUGCUUCUCUCGCGGUUGGUGUGAUAAUUAUCUACGCCUACAUGCCGUGUUUGUCGAGCGUCUGCUUACAACCGUCCCGCAAGGGACAACUUUUACCAGUGUGACCUCAAAUCAGGUAGGACUACCCGCUGAACUUAA